UCGAGGAUCUUCGUCAAUGGGGGAAACCCUGAACGAGCGAUGCCGCGUGAGCGAUGAAGGCCUUCGGGUUGUAAAGCUCAAAAGAGGUGAGAAAGGGAAACUUGAUCAAACCUCAGUAAGCUCGGGCUAAGUUCGUGCCAGCAGCCGCGGUAAGACGAACCGAGCGAACGUUGUUCGGAAUCACUGGGCUUAAAGGGCGCGUAGGCGGGUUUGCAAGUCCGUGGUGAAAUACCUCAGCUCAACUGAGGAACUGCCUCGGAUACUGCAAGUCUUGAGUGUGGUAGAGGCUAUUAGAAUUCCUGGUGUAGUGGUGAAAUACGUAGAUAUCAGGAGGAAUACCGGAGGCGAAGGCGGAUAGCUGGGCCAACACUGACGCUGAGACCCGAAAGCGUGGGGAUCAAACAGGAUUAGAUACCCAAGUAGUCCCUGAGCGGGCUGGCAAGGCGCAU
rnacentral:rRNA from 1 species